GAACUUAUCUGGCCAGCCAGACGGCAAACAGACAGCUCCUUUGCCACGGGUGGGCCUGGGCUGUUCUUUGAGCCAGAUUGGGCGACUGUGUCUCCUUCCAGCAAAAAACUCUGGAGGUAGAAUAGAAGCAUUGUGUUGCCUCCCGGUUAUCAGAGCCUGCCUCACAGGUGGACGGACCCAAGACCCUCUUGACCAGGUCAGUGACACAAACCCUGGCCGUGAUCUCUGGUUUAGACGUUCCAGAAUUUCCCUCGAGUGUGAGGUGUCAAGUAAGCUUACUGCCUGCCCCCCUGCUUCAUUACCACAUGGCCCUGACAUCGCUGGCCCACGGCUCCUCUGAGACACCACUUGGCAGAGGAGCCCAACAAGAGGAAGAGCAAGAGAAAACUGCUGGGUGGACCUAAUCGAUUCAGUUGCUGGGAGUGGGGAAGAGCUACUGCAAAGGUCCAGCUGGGGCCCCAUCAAAGGUGCCUGGACCCCCAAGAACGGUGACAAAGAGCCCGGCUGGACCAUUCGACUCCGCGUCCUGAUGCAGGCCAUGGGACUGGGCACCUGAGCAUGCUGCCAGAGACUGGCAAGGCCCUGCUGGUCCUGCAGUUCAAGUGGGUAUCCAGCCCCACGCUUCUCCGGCUUCCACAAGCACAAACUUUCUGCUUUUCCAAUGAGCUCCCAGGUGGCGUGGCUGCUGCGGGUCCCAGGACCCCACUCUGAGGAGCCAGGUGGCGCCAUCUACAACUUUCCUCCCUCCUGGCCCUCUUUCUC